AGAGUUUGAUCAUGGCUCAGAAUCAACGCUGGCGGCGUGCCUAACACAUGCAAGUCGAACGAGAAAGUGGAGCAAUCCAUGAGUAAAGUGGCGACCGGGUGAGUAACACGUGACUACCUGCCCUAGAGUGGGGGAUAACCCCGGGAAACCGGGGCUAAUACCGCAUAACAUCGAGAGAUCAAAGGCGCAAGCCGCUCUUGGAGGGGGUCGCGGCUGAUUAGCUAGUUGGUGAGGUAAUGGCUCACCAAGGCGAUGAUCAGUAGCCGGCCUGAGAGGGCGCACGGCCACACUGGAACUGAAACACGGUCCAGACUCCUACGGGAGGCAGCAGUGGGGAGUUUUGCGCAAUGGGGGAAACCCUGACGCAGCAACGCCGCGUGGAGGAUGAAGUUCUUUGGAACGUAAACUCCUUUCGAGCGGGACGAUGAUGACGGUACCGCUAGAAGAAGCCCCGGCUAACUUCGUGCCAGCAGCCGCGGUAAUACGAGGGGGGCAAGCGUUGUUCGGAAUUAUUG
rnacentral:rRNA from 1 species